GGGUCAGUAGGUUGGUCGUGCCACCGGUACGUACUGGUCUCACUGAUUCCUCCUUCCUGAAGAACCGUAAUGCCAUUAAUUUGGUGUUGCGGGGAAACAGGGCUGUCACUUUGAAAAAAUUAGAGUGUUUAAAGCAAGCUAACGCUUGAAUACAUUAGCAUGGAAUAAUGAAAUAGGACGAUCGAUCCUAUUUUGUUGGUUUCUAGGAUUGACGUA
rnacentral:rRNA from 1 species